AAUUAAGACAUGACACAGAGAAAAUGUGUGUACGAAAGAUUCUCUUAGCUAAGGGGAAAAAAAAACAUUACUGUAAAAACUCCAUUAAAACCCUUCUUCUUCCUCUUCUUCUUCAUCGGACUCUGUUUUUUCUCCAUGGAAAUACCCUUUUUUGUUCAUCCAUUUAUUGUCCUUUUCUUUUUCUUUUUAUUAUUUCUCUUUGUAAUCUUCUUCUUCUUGAAGACUAAUUUUCUGUGCAACUGUGAAAUUUGCCAAGCUUAUUUGGCUACCUCUUGGUCGGAAAAUUUCUGCAAUCUCUGUGAUUGGUACACCCAUCUUCUCCGGAAAUCUCCGACCAAAACCAUUCACAUCCACGUUUUGCGGAACACGAUUACGGCCAAUCCCGACAACGUCGAAUACAUUCUCAAAACCAAUUUCGAAAAUUACCCAAAAGGAAAAUCCUUCUCCUCCAUUCUUGGCGAUUUUCUCGGUCGUGGGAUUUUCAAUGUCGACGGCGAUUCAUGGCGGUUUCAAAAGAAAAUGGCCAUUCUUGAGCUCGGAAAACAGCCGAUUCGAUCGUAUUGCUUUGAAAUUGUUCGUCACGAAAUUGAUUCCCGGCUUCUCCCGCUUCUUUCCUCUGUUUCUGCUGCCGGCGAUGCGGUGGUGGAUUUGCAAGAUGUGUUUAGAAGAUUCGCUUUUGAUUGUAUUUGUAAAUUCUCGUUUGGGUUGGAUCCGAUGUGCUUGGAGCUGUCUCUUCCGAUGUCGGAUUUUGCUGUGGCGUUCGAUAGUGCUUCCAAGCUCUCUGCUCAACGAGCCAUGGCCGUCGCUCCGUUCAUCUGGAAAAUCAAGCGAAUGCUUAAUUUAGGUAGCGAGAGGGAAUUAAAACAAGCAAUUAAGCUAAUUAACAUUUUAGCUCAAGAAGUAAUCCGACAGCGAAGAAAAAUAGGAAUCUCCGCCGGCAGAGACCUUCUCUCUCAGUUCAUGCGGACUGUCUCCGACGAGACAUACCUACGCGACAUCGUUGUCAGCUUCCUUUUAGCUGGCCGCGACACGGUGGCCUCUGCUCUGACGAGCUUCUUCUGGGUUCUCUCAACUCAUCCCGCCGUCGCGUCCGCCGUCGAACUCGAAGCCGACAGAGUCAUCGGCGCCGGUUGUGACCCAAUAAAUUCCGACCAAAUCCGGAAACUUUAUUAUUUACAAGCUGCCAUUUUCGAGUCCAUGAGGCUCUACCCGCCGAUUCAGUUCGACUCCAAGUUUUGCAAGAAUGAUGACGUGUUGCCAGAUGGGACAUUCGUCCGACGUGGCACUCGGGUCACUUAUCAUCCAUAUGCCAUGGGGCGGGUCGAGGAGAUUUGGGGUUCGGAUUGUCUUGAGUUUAAGCCGGAGCGGUGGUUGAAAGACGGCGGUUUUUGUCCGGCGAAUCCGUUUAAGUACCCGAUUUUUCAAGGUGGGUUUCGGUUUUGUGUCGGGAAGGAAAUGGCAGUUAUUGAGUUGAAAACUGUUGCUCUUUCGCUCAUUCGUCAGUUUCGGUUUCGGUCGGUGACGCCGUGUGUGGCGCCACCGCGAUUUUCCCCUGGCCUCACCGCCACCUUCUUUGACGGGUUUCGGGUUUACGUCGACGAGAAUGAAAAAAAAUCAAAAUAAAUUAUGAAAUUUGCUGUAUGUUGAGAUCGUUAUGGACCAUGGUCGUAUAAAUGUUACAAAUUUAUAUUUCCA